GGAUAGGUGCCAGAGCGGUCGAAUGGGAUGGUCCUGAAAACCAUUGAACCCUCCGGGUUCCGCGAGUUCGAAUCUCGCCCUAUCCG
rnacentral:tRNA from 1 species